GUGCAGCAGGCGAGAAUUUUUCUCAAUGGGCGAAAGCCUGAAGGAGCGACGCCGCGUGGGGGAUGAAUGGCUUCGGCCCGUAAACCCCUGUCAUUUGUGAACAAAUUGUUUCACCUAACACAUGAAGCAUUGAUAGUAACGGAAGAGGAAGGGACGGCUAACUCUGUGCCAGCAGCCGCGGUAAUACAGAGGUCCCAAGCGUUGUUCGGAUUCACUGGGCGUAAAGGGUGCGUAGGCGGUUGGGUAAGUCUGACGUGAAAUCUCCGGGCCUAACCCGGAAACUGCGUUGGAUACUAUCCGGCUAGAGGAAUGGAGGGGAGACUGGAAUACUUGGUGUAGCAGUGAAAUGCGUAGAUAUCAAGUGGAACACCAGUGGCGAAGGCGAGUCUCUGGACAUUUCCUGACGCUGAGGCACGAAAGCCAGGGGAGCAAACGGGAUUAGAUA
rnacentral:rRNA from 1 species